AAGUCGAACGGCAGCAUGUUCCGCACUUAGAUUGUCUUUGGAAGAGGGUAAUGUAAGUGCGGAAUGAUGGCGAGUGGCGAACGGGUGAGUAACGCGUAGGGAUCUGCCUAGUAGAGGGGGAUAAGCCGGGGAAACUCGGUCUAAUACCGCAUAAGCUCUAAGGAGGAAAGCAUGGGACUGGAAACGGCCAUGCGCUAUUAGAUGAACCUGCGUUAGAUUAGCUAGUUGGUAGGGUAAAGGCCUACCAAGGCGACGAUCUAUAGCUGGUCUGAGAGGAUGACCAGCCACACUGGAACUGAGAGACGGACCAGACUCCUACGGGAGGCAGCAGUGGGGAAUAUUGGACAAUGGGGGCAACCCUGAUCCAGCGAUGCCGCGUGUGUGAAGAAGGCCUGAGGGUUGUAAAGCACUUUAAUUGGGGAGGAAAUGUUGGAGAUGAAUAAGCUUCAAAUAUGACGUUACCCAAAGAAUAAGCACCGGCAAACUCUGUGCCAGCAGCCGCGGUAAUACAGAGGGUGCAAGCGUUAAUCGGAAUGACUGGGCGUAAAGAGCGCGUAGGCGGACACAUGUGUCGUAGGUGAAAUCCCCGGGCUUAACCUGGGAACUGCCUAUGAAACUAUGUGACUAGAAUAUAGGAGAGGGAAGUGGAAUUUCCGGUGUAGCGGUGAAAUGCGUAGAUAUCGGAAAGAACACCAGUGGCGAAGGCGGCUUUCUGGCCAAAUAUUGACGCUGAGGCGCGAAAGCGUGGGUAGCGAACAGGAUUAGAUACCCUGGUAGUCCACGCCGUAAACGAUGAGAACUAGAUGUCUGUUAACUGAGGUUAAUGGGUAUUGAAGCAAACGCAUUAAGUUCUCCGCCUGGGGAGUACGGUCGCAAGAUUAAAACUCAAAGGAAUUGACGGGGGCCCGCACAAGCGGUGGAGCAUGUGGUUUAAUUCGAUGCAACGCGCAAAACCUUACCUACCCUUGACAUGGCUCGGACGUUACUCAGAGAUGAGGAGUGCUUCUCUUCGAGGGAACCAAUGACACAGGUGCUGCAUGGCUGUCGUCAGCUCGUGUCGUGAGAUGUUGGGUUAAGUCCCGCUAACGAGCGCAACCCCUCGCCUUAGUUGCCAGCAAGUCAAGUUGGGCACUCUAAGUAGGACUGCCGGUGAUAACCGAGAGGAAGGUGGGGAUGACUGUCAAGUCCUCAUGGCCCUUACUGGGCUAGGGCUACACACGUGCUACAAUGGCGGCUACAAUGGGAAGCGAAAUGCGAGCCUCGAGCGAUCUCAGAUAAGUCGGUCGUCAGUUCAGAUUGGCAGCUCUGCAAGCUCGACUGCAUGAAGUUGGAAUCGCUAGUAAUCGUAGGAUCAGAACUGCGACGGUGAAUACGUUCCUCGGGCCUUGUACACACCGCCCGUCACACCAUGGGAGUUGGUUCUACCCGAAGGCGUUUUCUUAACCGCAAGGAGAGAGACGACCACGGUAGGGUCAGCGACUGGGGUG
rnacentral:rRNA from 1 species